rnacentral:rRNA from 1 species
AAGACGAGUAGGGCGGGGCACGUGAAACCCUGUCUGAAUAUGGGGGGACCAUCCUCCAAGGCUAAAUACUCCUGACCGACCGAUAGUGAACCAGUACCGUGAGGGAAAGGCGAAAAGAACCCCGGAGAGGGGAGUGAAAUAGAUCCUGAAACCGUGUGCGUACAAGCAGUAGGAGCUCGCAAGAGUGACUGCGUACCUUUUGUAUAAUGGGUCAGCGACUUACUGUUCGUGGCAAGCUUAACCGUAUAGGGGAGGCGAAGGGAAACCGAGUCUGAUAAGGGCGCAUAGUCGCGGGCAGUAGACCCGAAACCGGGUGAUCUAGUCAUGGCCAGGGUGAAGGUGCCGUAACAGGUACUGGAGGCCCGAACCCACGUCUGUUGCAAAAGACGGGGAUGAGCUGUGAUUAGGAGUGAAAAGCUAAUCGAACCCGGAGAUAGCUGGUUCUCCUCGAAAGCUAUUUAGGUAGCGCCUCAUAUGUAUCCUCUCGGGGGUAGAGCACUGUUAUGGCUAGGGGGUCAUCGCGACUUACCAAACCAUUGCAAACUCCGAAUACCGAGACGGACUGUAUGGGAGACACACGGCGGGUGCUAACGUCCGUCGUGAAAAGGGAAACAACCCAGACCCACAGCUAAGGUCCCAAAUUCACUGCUAAGUGGAAAACGAUGUGGAAAGGCAUAGACAGCCAGGAGGUUGGCUUAGAAGCAGCCACCCUUUAAAGAAAGCGUAAUAGCUCACUGGUCGAGUCGGUCUGCGCGGAAGAUUUAACGGGGCUAAGCAGUGAACCGAAGCUUGGGGUGCAUAAAACUUGUUUUAUGCGCGGUAGAGGAGCGUUCCGUAAGCCUGCGAAGGUGGAUUGAGAAGUCUGCUGGAGGUAUCGGAAGUGCGAAUGCUGACAUGAGUAACGAUAAUGCGGGUGAAAAGCCCGCACGCCGAAAGCCCAAGGUUUCCUUGCGCAACGUUAAUCGACGCAGGGUUAGUCGGUCCCUAAGGCGAGGGCGAAAGCCGUAGUCGAUGGGAAGCAGGUUAAUAUUCCUGCACCUCGCGUGAGUGCGAUGGAGGGACGGAGAAGGUUAGGUGUACCGGGCGUUGGUUGUCCCGGGGAAAGGCGGUAGGUUUGGAUCUUUGGCAAAUCCGGGAUCCUUUAAGACCGAGCACCGAGACGAGCCUUUAUGGCGAAGUCACUGAUACCACGCUUCCAGGAAAAGCUCCUAAGCUUCAGCUCACGAAGACCGUACCGUAAACCGACACAGGUGGGUAGGAUGAGAAUUCUCAGGCGCUUGAGAGAACUCGGGUGAAGGAACUAGGCAACAUGGCACCGUAACUUCGGGAGAAGGUGCACCCUUUUUGGUGGCUCGUGCGAGCUAUAGCUGAAGAGGGUCGCAGAAACCAGGCCGCUGCGACUGUUUAUCAAAAACACAGCACUCUGCAAACACGAAAGUGGACGUAUAGGGUGUGACGCCUGCCCGGUGCUGGAAGGUUAAUUGAUGGGGUCAGCCGCAAGGCGAAGCUCUUGAUCGAAGCCCCAGUAAACGGCGGCCGUAACUAUAACGGUCCUAAGGUAGCGAAAUUCCUUGUCGGGUAAGUUCCGACCUGCACGAAUGGCGUAACGACAGCGGCGCUGUCUCCACCCGAGACUCAGUGAAAUUGAAAUCGCUGUGAAGAUGCAGCGUUCCCGUGGCAAGACGGAAAGACCCCGUGAACCUUUACUAUAGCUUUACACUGAACGUUGAGUUCGUCUGUGUAGGAUAGGUGGGAGGCUAUGAAACUGUGGCGCUAGCUGCAGUGGAGCCAUCCUUGAAAUACCACCCUGUCGUGCUUGACGUUCUAACCUAGGUCCGUUAUCCGGAUCAGGGACCGUGUAUGGUGGGUAGUUUGACUGGGGCGGUCUCCUCCUAAAGAGUAACGGAGGAGCACGAAGGUACGCUCAGCGCGGUCGGACAUCGCGCACUGUGUGCAAAGGCAUAAGCGUGCUUGACUGCAAGAUCGACGGAUCAAGCAGGUACGAAAGUAGGUCUUAGUGAUCCGGUGGUUCUGUAUGGAAGGGCCAUCGCUCAACGGAUAAAAGGUACUCCGGGGAUAACAGGCUGAUACCGCCCAAGAGUUCAUAUCGACGGCGGUGUUUGGCACCUCGAUGUCGGCUCAUCACAUCCUGGGGCUGUAGUCGGUCCCAAGGGUAUGGCUGUUCGCCAUUUAAAGUGGUACGCGAGCUGGGUUCAGAACGUCGUGAGACAGUUCGGUCCCUAUCUGCCAUGGGCGUUGGAAGUUUGAGAGGGGCUGCUCCUAGUACGAGAGGACCGGAGUGGACGAACCUCUGGUGUUCCGGUUGUCACGCCAGUGGCAUUGCCGGGUAGCUAUGUUCGGAAGCGAUAACCGCUGAAAGCAUCUAAGCGGGAAGCGCGCCUCAAGAUGAGACUUCCCGGGGCACAAGCCCCCUAAAGGAACCAUGUAGACUACGUGGUUGAUAGGUCAGGUGUGUAAGUACAGCAAUGUAUUGAGCUAACUGAUACUAAUGAUCCGUGCGGCUUGACCAU